ACUUUGUGGGUGACCUGAAAAGAGGAAGAAAAAAAAAGUCAGACUCAUCAAUAGAUGAGGAAUAUAGCGAACGGCUUCUUAAGAACGAGAGUAAGAAACUACAAAGGAAUUUUUCAAAAUCGUGAAACCCAUUAUUGCUGUGCUAAAAACAAUGGCACCUUCUAAUAUAUGGCGGAGUAUACCGAUACCGAUCUGCUUAUGCUAACAGAUUGCCUCGCUAUGUGAAAAUUGUAUGUGAAAACGUAAAGUCCAUUCUCACGGGAGAAACUUUGUUAAUGAAAGCAGCCUGUGCCAUCUGGCGGCUGAAGCAUCCUUGAGAAAGUCUCCUUACUUGCUGCAACCCUCGACCCCAAUAGUCUUGGAUAAGAUAAUCUAAACUUUCAAAAGCCAAGUACUCUUUAUGUACAAAGCCGCCAUUGAUUGGAGUAUACAAGAGGCGUACGCAGUAUCGUCAUCUGGUAUAAAUUUGCUGCCAAAAAUAAUGAACGUCCUACGCUUGUUUCUUUCGCUGGAAAAAUCUGAAAAUGUGACUAAUAGAAGAAAAAGAAGUCUUAAAAAAUACGGAAAAAUACAAAAAAAAAAGAAAGAGCAACCAUCGUAAAACGUCCGUCCACAACGGCCAGAAUUCCUUGGCAAUUCUCGCGCCACUGGGGCCGCAGCCAAAAGGAUGACGAAUACAGCGAGGCAAAAGCGUUCGUAAACAGAAUUGGCCUCGCAAAUCCGCAAUUUCGCAAAGGUAAACCAGGAGCGUACUCAGGACAGUGGUUUGUAUAUUCGAUCGCUGGAACGAAUGUCGCGACGCUUGUUGUACAUGGACAAUCUAAUAUCAGAGACGCGGGAACCAUUUUGGAUGAGAAAAUAAUUAACUUCAGGUCGAUGACGCUUUGCCGUAAUUCACAGCUCAUUCACUCACAUUCUCAGACGUCUUUGUACUUUCUUUUUUUCCCACGAAGUUUUCAUUAUUACCAGAUGCAUUAGUUGUACGGGAUACGACGCCAUCUUGUUUUCUCUUUAAACAAACUACAGAGUCUCUGUAACAAGGCGCUGUUAUCGGCUUGAGUAAAUUAAAAGAAAAAGUAAUUCAAUCCGGCUUUUAUUACAAUGUAUAUCACCCGAUGGUACAGAACAAUUACCGACAGUGCUGCCAUUGUAAUACGCUAGUCAACAUAUUUCGGUUACGGCUCGACAAUUUCGGCUUCACGGGUUAACGAGCUCCGAGCUCGAUAUCUUUGAGGUGUAAUCGAGAAAUUUGAAGAAACUUCUACUCCUCGACGGCUUCCUUCCUGCUCGACGUUGAAAAGACGUCGGUCCCUCGCACUUUCUCCAUGCUCUCCACGCUCUACGUAAUCACGAAAAAUAAAAUCGUUCCCAGUAAUAUCCGGUCGUUCGUAAAACUUCCUCGCGCGUUCAAUCCGCCAUUUGCGGAUGCGUCAAUGAAUACAGCGUAUAAUUCACAGGCCUCUUUAACACUCAGAGAAGCCAUCGUCUGUAAGCUGACAACGAAGAUCUAGGCGGAUGUGUUGACAACAACAAUGGCUGUCGAGCGUCGAUAAUUCUCUCUAUGUAAGAGCGUCAGAAGUAAUGAGACUGGCGCUAAACGAAUUCCUGAGGGAGAGGGCACGAAAAUGCCAGAGCGGACGAGACUCAUUAGAGAGUGUUCUCGUACUCCAUGGCCAUCAGGCGUGACCGGCUUUCUCAUUUGUUUCCAACAUUCUCAUUGCAAGAGGAAAUGCCUGCUACUCGUGUUGUCUGAGACGCAAGGUCGUAUCGAAGGACUUUCUGACGGAGUCAACAUAACCUCCUUCCACUGUCACUGACAAGCAUCGACCGAGUCGAAGUUUAACGAAAAACCAAGAGCUACUCUCAUCAUUGAUAUUAGUCACUUCUGGGCUGUCAGCAUGUCUAACGCGUAUUUCCCUACCUCUCUGAAGCUGUUGUGCAACUCUGGAUGACUCCCAGGCUACGUUAUGCUCGAAAUAAAAUCUUAUUGAGCUCGACCCGUGUAAUGGCUAUCUUGUGUACUUACCAUUGCCUUUAUUAUCUUCUUGAAACAUCCAAUAAUUGUAUCCUCGUUGUGUGCAGUUUUCAAAGUCAAAGACAAGCAAGGGAGGGAAAGAGGACAGGAGGAAGAGAGAGAGAGAGAGAGAGAGAGACCGGUACGAAUUGCUUAAUGCAUGUCACCACUUACGUAAAGAGCUUCCUAACAUAAUAUUCAAAGUUUUCAAAAGCUGCGAUAAUUGGACAGGGGCAAGGACACUGCGAUACUCUGCAUUGUUCCAUCAAAGAGCGGAGCUUGACAUUGCUGAUUGUUCAAGGAUGAUUUUUUUUAUCUUGCUUGAUACAGCCUCAUGAAGGAAUGUUUAAAUAGACAACCUUGAACUGUUCUAAACUUCUUUCGAAUAUAAUAAAUAUAAUUCUCGCUGUUAUUAUGCUGAUGAAGCACGAUGUCAGAACGUCAGCAGUCUGCUGCUUGUCUGCAGCCGUCAAACCAUGACGUUAUUAAACGUGUCAAAGACACUGUGAAUUCCCCUCUUGAAUACUGGAUGCAUCGAUAGACCUUGGAUUCCACAAUGACAUGAGCUAGCUCGUAGCAGAAGUUAUGGAACAUCAAAAAUAGAUCGGUGCGUAUUACCGGUACUUUAAUUCCUUUCGAAAUAAUAUAAAACGUUCCUGUGUCAAUCGUGUGAAAAUUCUUGCAGAUAUCCUUACAGCUUCGUGAUAAGAAAUUCGGUGACAGAGAAAGUCGAGAUGAUGACAGUCAGGAGAGUCAUGAAUUUCACAGAAUGCGACUGGUGUACUUGGUGACUUGCCACCUGAUACAUAUAAUAAAAAUGAAAAUCAAAAUUGGCCAAUGUAUCUAAUCACCCUGUUGGCAAGUGUACGCACGGAU